rnacentral:rRNA from 1 species
UACGUAGGGUGCAAGCGUUGUCCGGAAUUAUUGGGCGUAAAGAGCUCGUAGGCGGUUUGUCGCGUCUGCUGUGAAAACUCGGGGCUCAACUCCGAGCUUGCAGUGGGUACGGGCAGACUAGAGGGCGGUAGGGGAGACUGGAAUUCCUGGUGUAGCGGUGGAAUGCGCAGAUAUCAGGAAGAACACCCGUGGCGAAGGCGGCUCUCUGGGACGGUACUGACGCUGAGACGCGAAAGCGUGGGGAGCGAACAGG